GGUUGGAUGGCCGAGCGGUCUAAGGCGCCAGAUUAAGGUCCAGCUUCAAUUCGAAGCCUCCAUUUCUCCAUUGGGGAUAGAUUAUCUGGUCAUUCGUGGCGUGGGUUCGAAUCCCACUCCAAUCA